AUUUAAAAAAAAACAAAACAACUUUUAAGUGAGUCAACAUGGAAAGAAUGGUGGAGCUGCACAGACUGCUAGUUCUUAGAUUCCCAAAUACAUUUUGAUCUGGUUUGGGUUCCAUCCAAGCACUGACAACCACAAUGCAUCAUGGUGCUCCUCUCCAGAUGAAAAAACAGAGACCCAAGAAAAUGAGACCCAGUAAGCAUCAGAGAAACAGGGUGACCCCAGAGCCAGUUCUCCUUCCACUGGAGCACACCGCCUGACUUGAAAUCUAGCAUUUCUGAGAGCUACACCAGGCUGCCUUCUCCCAAGCACUCCAUUUUGGCACAUUCAUUCUUCACCCCAUGCCCCUUAAAUGCCAGGCUCUGGCAAGAUCUGAGACAUGCAAAUUGCAAGCGGGUAAAUAGCAACUUUGCAUAAUUUGAAUGGGAGAGAGCAACCAGACUCCACUUGGGUUCCCUGGGAAAUCGGAGAUCCUGCAGAGGAGGGAGAAGCUGAGAGUCUUAAGUGCUUUCGUCAAAGGGUUUAUUAUGCUUAUUAAAUCUAUUCUAUAUUGAUGAA